rnacentral:rRNA from 1 species
UACGUAGGGUCCGAGCGUUGUCCGGAAUUACUGGGCGUAAAGAGCUCGUAGGUGGUUUGUCGCGUUGUUCGUGAAAACUCACAGCUCAACUGUGGGCGUGCGGGCGAUACGGGCAGACUGGAGUACUGCAGGGGAGACUGGAAUUCCUGGUGUAGCGGUGGAAUGCGCAGAUAUCAGGAGGAACACCGGUGGCGAAGGCGGGUCACUGGCCCGGUACUGACGCUGAGGUGCGAAAGCGUGGGGAGCAAACAGG